UCAGUCGACUCCUACGGGGAGGCAGCAGUGGGGAAGUAUUGGACAAUGGGGGGAACCCUGAUCCAGCCAUGCCGCGUGUGUGAAGAAGGCCUUAUGGUUGUAAAGCACUUUAAGCGAGGAGGAGGCUACUGAGACUAAUACUCUUGGAUAGUGGACGUUACUCGCAGAUAAGCACCGGCUAAACUCUGUGCCAGCAGCCGCGGUAAUACAGAGGGUGCGAGCGUUAAUCGGAUUUACUUGGGCGUAAAGCGUGCGUAGGCGGCGUUUUAAGUUCGGAUGUGAAAUACCCCGAGCUUAACUUGGGAAUUGCAUUCGAUACUGGAAGCUAGAGUAUGGGAGAGGAUGGUAGAAUUCCAGGUGUAGCGGUGAAAUGCGUAGAGAUCUGGAGGAAUACCGAUGGCGAAGGCAGCCAUCUGGCCUAAUACUGACGCUGAGGUACGAAAGCAUGGGGAGCAAACAGGAUUAGAUACCCCUGGUAG
rnacentral:rRNA from 1 species